CCCUUAGAUGUCCUGGGCCGCACGCGCGCUACACUGAGUGUCUGAGAUACGAGUCUGCCUAGCCGGCGAGGUCUAGGUAAUCGCUGAAAGACACAUCAUGCUUGGGAUAGAUUAUUGCAGAUAUUAAUCUUGAACGAGGAAUUCCUAGUAAGCGCAAGUCAACAGCUUGCGUUGAUUACGUCCCUGCCCUUUGUACACACCGCCCGUCGCUACUACUGAUUGGAUGUUUAAGCGAGGUUCUCGAACUGCUAGCGACUUAGCUUCGGUGAGGUCGCCGUGUGGGAAGUGAACCUAGCUUUGGUGUCUAGAGGAAGUAAAAGUCGUAACA
rnacentral:rRNA from 1 species